GGUUAAGCGACUAAGCGUACACGGUGGAUGCCCUGGCAGUCAGAGGCGAUGAAGGACGUGCUAAUCUGCGAUAAGCGUCGGUGAGGUGAUAUGAACCGUUAUAACCGGCGAUUUCCGAAUGGGGAAACCCAGUGUGUUUCGACACACUAUCAUUAACUGAAUCCAUAGGUUAAUGAGGCGAACCGGGGGAACUGAAACAUCUAAGUACCCCGAGGAAAAGAAAUCAACCGAGAUUCCCCCAGUAGCGGCGAGCGAACGGGGAGGAGCCCAGAGCCUGAAUCAGUGUGUGUGUUAGUGGAAGCGUCUGGAAAGGCGUGCGAUACAGGGUGACAGCCCCGUACACAAAAAUGCACAUAUUGUGAGCUCGAUGAGUAGGGCGGGACACGUGGUAUCCUGUCUGAAUAUGGGGGGACCAUCCUCCAAGGCUAAAUACUCCUGACUGACCGAUAGUGAACCAGUACCGUGAGGGAAAGGCGAAAAGAACCCCGGCGAGGGGAGUGAAAAAGAACCUGAAACCGUGUACGUACAAGCAGUGGGAGCCUCUUAAUGGGGUGACUGCGUACCUUUUGUAUAAUGGGUCAGCGACUUAUAUUCUGUAGCAAGGUUAACCGAAUAGGGGAGCCGAAGGGAAACCGAGUCUUAACUGGGCGUUAAGUUGCAGGGUAUAGACCCGAAACCCGGUGAUCUAGCCAUGGGCAGGUUGAAGGUUGGGUAACACUAACUGGAGGACCGAACCGACUAAUGUUGAAAAAUUAGCGGAUGACUUGUGGCUGGGGGUGAAAGGCCAAUCAAACCGGGAGAUAGCUGGUUCUCCCCGAAAGCUAUUUAGGUAGCGCCUCGUGAAUUCAUCUCCGGGGGUAGAGCACUGUUUCGGCAAGGGGGUCAUCCCGACUUACCAACCCGAUGCAAACUGCGAAUACCGGAGAAUGUUAUCACGGGAGACACACGGCGGGUGCUAACGUCCGUCGUGAAGAGGGAAACAACCCAGACCGCCAGCUAAGGUCCCAAAGUCAUGGUUAAGUGGGAAACGAUGUGGGAAGGCCCAGACAGCCAGGAUGUUGGCUUAGAAGCAGCCAUCAUUUAAAGAAAGCGUAAUAGCUCACUGGUCGAGUCGGCCUGCGCGGAAGAUGUAACGGGGCUAAACCAUGCACCGAAGCUGCGGCAGCGACACUAUGUGUUGUUGGGUAGGGGAGCG
rnacentral:rRNA from 1 species